rnacentral:misc_RNA from 1 species
GAUGAAGAACGCAGCGAAAUGCGAUAAGUAAUGUGAAUUGCAGAAUUCAGUGAAUCAUCGAAUCUUUGAACGCACAUUGCGCCCCCUGGUAUUCCGGGGGGCAUGCCUGUCCGAGCGUCAUUACAACCCUCAAGCUCAGCUUGGUGUUGGGCCCCGCCGCCCCGGCGGGCCCUAAAGUCAGUGGCGGUGCCGUCCGGCUCCGAGUGUAGUAAUUCUUCUCGCUCUGGAGGUCCGGUCGUGUGCUCGCCAGCAACCCCCAAUUUUUUUCAGGUUGACCUCGGAUCAGGUAGGGAUACCCGCUGAACUUAAGCAUAUCAAUAAGCGGAGGA